rnacentral:tRNA from 1 species
UCCCUGAUGGCUCAGACAGUAAAGAGUCUGCCUGCAAUGCAGGAGAUCCAGGUUCGAUCCCUGGGUUGGGAA